AAUAUAUUUACUUUUUUGGAUUUGGCGUUAUUAAUGAUAUGAAAGAUAAGGUUAUGCAGUGUUUUCAAACUGUAGGACACGCUAAUGUAUGGCCGGGGCGCGCAAGAAUGAACAAAAGCAUAAUUAUUGAGACAAAAAAUAAAUUCAAAUUGUGGUCGAAAAAAACGAAUCAGCAAAGAGUUAUAAAUGCAUAUAUCCAUGUCUUCAGAAACUUUCUGCUGUAUCUGAAAGUUUCUGGAAAUAUCUAUCCUGUUUAGUGAUUUAAAAAGAAUUGCGAGUAGCGCUAUCUUCACUAGCUCUGAUUUGAGUGAGUUUCUGCUGAAAAACAUGGCCAUCCAUCGCAUUAAAUAUCAUCUUAUAUUAAAUUAUAUUUUGUUUUAUUCUAAGAUUUGUUUAACUGUAUUAAAAAAUAUCGCAUCAUAUAGAUAUAAGUUAUAUUAUUUUUAGGUAUAAGAACUUUAUAUAUACAAAAUAUGGCAUAUUGUUUUCUAUAUUAAAAUGUAAGUAGAAAGUAUUUAUAAAAUUAGAUCUCUAUGAAGAUGAAAGGCAUACCAAUUUUUAAUGAAAAAGGGAAGCGCAGAUACGGAAAGAUUGGAAGUCACUGCGUUAAUGUAUUUUAUUGUAAUUAUCGAAUAAAAAAAAAUUAAUUAAUUGAAAAUCGCUUUCUAAAGGAAAUAAUAUUUAAAAAUACAUACUUUAUCUUAGAUAAUAAAAUGAUUUUUUUAUUAUAGGGUGGAGGAGGACUAUCGUGAUAAUUAGGAAAAUAGUUAUAUAAUUUUGAAGCGAUCUUUA
rnacentral:lncRNA from 1 species